UGCGUAGGCGGGUUUCUAAGUCAGAGGUGAAAGCCUGGAGCUCAACUCCAGAACUGCCUUUGAUACUGGAAGUCUUGAGUUCGGGAGGGGUGAGUGGAACUGCGAGUGUAGAGGUGAAAUUCGUAGAUAUUCGCAAGAACACCAGUGGCGAAGGCGGCUCACUGGCCCGAUACUGACGCUGAGGCACGAAAGCGUGGGAGCAAACA
rnacentral:rRNA from 1 species